rnacentral:rRNA from 1 species
UACGUAGGAGACGAGCGUUGUCCGGAGUUAUUGGGCGUAAAGAGCUCGUAGGCGGUUUGUCGCGUCUGCCGUGAAAGUCCGGGGCUCAACUCCGGAUCUGCGGUGGGUACGGGCAGACUAGAGUGAUGUAGGGGAGACUGGAAUUCCUGGUGUAGCGGUGAAAUGCGCAGAUAUCAGGAGGAACACCGAUGGCGAAGGCAGGUCUCUGGGCAUUAACUGACGCUGAGGAGCGAAAGCAUGGGGAGCGAACAGG